AUUGAACGCUGGCGGAAUGCUUUACACAUGCAAGUCGAACGGCAGCACGGACUUCGGUCUGGUGGCGGGUGGCGAACGGGUGAGUAAUGUAUCGGAACGUGCCCAGUCGUGGGGGAUAACGUAGUGAAAAUUACGCUAAUACCGCAUACGAUCUAUGGAUGAAAGCGGGGGAUCGCAAGACCUCGCGCGAUUGGAGCGGCCGAUAUCAGAUUAGGUAGUUGGUGGGGUAAAGGCCCACCAAGCCAACGAUCUGUAGCUGGUCUGAGAGGACGACCAGCCACACUGGAACUGAGACACGGUCCAGACUCCUACGGGAGGCAGCAGUGGGGAAUUUUGGACAAUGGACGCAAGUCUGAUCCAGCCAUUCCGCGUGCAGGAUGAAGGCCCUCGGGUUGUAAACUGCUUUUGUACGGAACGAAGAGGUCUCUCUUAAUACGGGGGACUCAUGACGGUACCGUAAGAAUAAGCACCGGCUAACUACGUGCCAGCCGCCGCGGUAA
rnacentral:rRNA from 1 species